AUUGAACGCUGGCGGCAGGCUUAGCACAUGCAAGUCGAGCGGAGAUGAGGUGCUUGCACCUUAUCUUAGCGGCGGACGGGUGAGUAAUGCUUAGGAAUCUGCCUAUUAGUGGGGGACAACAUUCCGAAAGGAAUGCUAAUACCGCAUACGUCCUACGGGAGAAAGCAGGGGAUCUUCGGACCUUGCGCUAAUAGAUGAGCCUAAGUCGGAUUAGCGAGUUGGUGGGGUAAAGGCCUACCAAGGCGACGAUCUGUAGCGGGUCUGAGAGGAUGAUCCGCCACACCGGGACUGAGACACGGCCCAGACUCCUACGGGAGGCAGCAGUGGGGAAUAUUGGACAAUGGGGGGAACCCUGAUCCAGCCAUGCCGCGUGUGUGAAGAAGGCCUUAUGGUUGUAAAGCACUUUAAGCGAGGAGGAGGCUACUGAGACUAAUACUCUUGGAUAGUGGACGUUACUCGCAGAAUAAGCACCGGCUAACUCUGUGCCAGCCGCCGCCGUAACAC
rnacentral:rRNA from 1 species